GUAGUCCGGGUCCGCGAGGUCGCGGCGCUGAGAGCUCGGCGCGGGAGCUGGCAGCGGGAGGAGAGGUGGCGGCGGACCCGGACGGCCCGGGCUCCGGAGCAAGUUCCAGCUGCUGGCCCUGCCGGGAGACGCAGGCUGCGGAAGGAAAACCACGUUAAGAGUAGCACAAUUGGUUCCUCCUAAGAGAUGUACAUGAUUCUUUGGGCUCGGAUGGCACUGCUGUUAGGUAGGCGGUGAAUGGAGAUCCACUUGGGAAAUUAGAAAACUACUAAUUGCUUUAUUUGAAAAGCCCGCCUCUUCCUCCACAAAAGGAUGGGGGAGAACAUUAAGAACCUACUAUGCAUCAGAUAUGAUAUCAGGCUCUUGAGGAAGUCUUCAUUUGCAUCUCUACCUGUUAUCUUUAUUUUACAAGUGAGGUAAUGGAGACGUUGGCAUUUGCUCCAGGUGUUGUAACUAAUGAGGAAAUCAAACUUUUUCUUAAGCAUUCAGGACCCAUUAUUACUUUCAGAUCUUGAAUCCAGUACAUGAUUUGAAAAAUAAAUUGUGUGUGUGUGUUAAGUCUGUGGAAGCUUGGUGUAUGAAUACCGAAAAGAGCUGUGCUAGGGCUCUCCACCCUCCUGUGUCCCACACUAAAGACAGGAGAGCCUGCCCAUUCCAGGGCCCCUCCUAGAGGAGGUUCAGACUGUGGAUUUGCAAGCUGUACCACCACUUUACCCUUUACCUCCCUGGUUCCACUGAGGCUAACAAAUGCUCUGAAGGCUCCACCCCAUUCCCUUGCCAUGGCCCUGAGUUCCCUACCAGAGUGAGCGAACUGGAUUCCAGUGUGGAUAACACAUCGGCAAGCAGCUUUUUGGGUUUUUUUUAUAUUUUAUUGCUUUUGUUUUCUUAGUUCCCUCAACUUAUACUCCUGCCCAUUCCCCAUUCCCACCCCCUAGGUUGGUUCUCUUCACUUCAUUUGAAUCUGUGCGCAUACAUACCCAGUAGGUGCUUUUUUCUUUGCUAGAAUGCCUCUAUGCAAAGCUCUCAGAUGUCUGAUUUUUUUUCCAUUAAAUUUCCUAUGUAUUUCAGAAACUGAAAAGGAUCUAAGGCAAGCGUGUACCCUUUGAUGCUGCAGGCUGUCCCUGUAUGCUGCCUAGAGGAGCACAGCAUCCCCACUACCUUGAGUUCCACUCAGAUGGACUCUAGCUGAAAAAAGAAAAUCCCACAAAGAAAACUAAUAGAAUAAUCUAUUCUGCCAUUGUUGUGCCUUUGUUUUAGCCCAGUCAUGGGAACUGUCAGAACUGGAGUUGCUAAAUAGAGCUAUGCAGUCUUUCUCUGAUAAUGUGUAGUAAAAUGUACUACAACUUAUAUAAUUCAGUUCCAAGAACUAGAGGUCAGAAAUUACCACAUCGGCUAGAGGAAAUUUUUCCUUUUCAUGGAAUGUGGAAUAAAAUUAUAAAUCAUACCCUUAACAUUGUAGCGGUUGUAUUACAAGAUGUGGGCCCAGCCCUGCCUUUAUCUCUCUGACACUCUGCAACCCUUCUCUCUGUUCCGAGGAAUAUUGGGCUGAUAGGACUUUUUUAACUAAUGUCCCCCUGACUAGCCUAUUUUAAAUUGUAACACACCCACUCUCAAAUGUUCACUAUUCCCCCCCUUAUUUUUCUUCAGGGCAUUUAUCUCCUCAUCCAACAUAUCACAUAUUUUGCGUGUUUAUCUUCCGUAUGAGGUUAGAGAUCUUUGCCGGUCUUGUUUUCUGCUGUAUCCCUUGCACCUGGAAGAGUGUGGCACAUAGUAGGUGCUCAGUAAAUAUUUGUUGAAUAAAUGGCCCCAUUUCUUUCUUUUUUUAAUGUAAGUUAUAUCAUAAAAAGAAAGUGACUUGAAACUAACAACAGUUUCACAUAAAUUGUGGCUCCAUAAGUUGAUGACUGGGUUUUCCCAAGUGGGAGGGAGUGCUUUCUGGAGCUACCUUUUGUUCUUGCUUUGGAUAGGUUUUCAUUCUGAGAAUUGAGGCGAUGAAUAUUACUACAAUCCCAAUUACCUUGUUUUCUGGGAUAAUUGGAACAUGUUCUCUGUAGAUAGUGACAUCCUUUGGGGAAUAAACUGCUGUCUAGGUAAUUGAAAGACAAAGCAAGGGAAAUUCCCUGGGGACAGGCUGCCUGACAAGGAUUGGUACCCAGUCAUCUCUAAAGGUCUGGCUACCUGACUUUUGUCUGGAAACAGCCCUCUUCUCCCCAAGGUCCUCACCCCUAAUGCUCUAUGAUACCCCUCUCCCUCAACAAAAACCCUCCUGGGACUUCCCAUCACGAAAACUAAAAUCCAAAAUCCUUACAAUGGCCUAUAAGGCCCUGCAUGAUCUGGCCCCUGACAACUCCUAUCCCUUCCCACUUUGCCAAGCCUGCCUCUGUCUACUACUAGAACCUCCCAGCUACUGCCUCAGGGUCUUUGUACUGCUGUUCCCUCCACUGGUCCUAGAGAUAAGCACAGGACUCAAGCCCUCACCACUCAGGUCUUCGCUCCAGUGUCUCCUCAGUAGCGUCUACACUGACCAUGCUAUUUAAGUUAAACCCCUCACCCUGCUAUCCCCACACUCCAUAUCCUUUCCCUCUGGUCUUUCACCAUAGUAAUCAUGUUUGUUUUACAUAUUAACUUGUCUGUUUGUUUCCUUCCACUAGAAUAUAAACUCUAUGAGGACAGGGAUUGUUGACUUUUCACCCAUAUAUGCCCAGCACACCUAGAAUAGUGCCUCACACACAGAAAGCAUGCUGAAAAUAUUUGUGAACUAAAUACCUCGUAAAUUAUGUUGAACUCUUCCAUAUCUUUACUUAUUGUUUGUGUGCUUGAACUACCAAUAAUUGCAAAAGGUAUCUUGAAACCUCCCACUGUAAGAGGAAUUUUGUCAGUUUCUCCCUACAAUUCUAUUUCUGUUUUUAUGUUUUUAGGAUAUUUUUUUGGGCACAUAGAGUUUAGCAUUGUUAUAACUUCCUGAUGGUGUUGAAAGCUUUUUAAAUAAUAUGGGAGAUGAAUUGCCAAAAUUGCCUGAAUUUUCCACCCCUCCCUGUACACACACCUCUUGCAAUGUGUCUUUCCAAUUCCUCCCAGAAUCUGGGCUGGCCUUGUAACUUGCUUCUGCCAAAAGAAUGUGGCAGAAGUGAUAAAUAGUUCUGAGCCUGAGCCUUCAUAAACCUUGAAUGCUUCCACAUUCUCUCUUGGAUCCCUGCCUCCACCAUGAGAACAGGCCUGGGCUAGCCUGCUGGAGGAUGAGAAGCUAUAUGGAAAAGAGCUGAGGACAUCCUAUACCAGUCAACAGCCAGCAGACCCCAAACAGGCAAGCCCAGCCAGGAUCAGCAUAGCCACCCACUGACCUGCAGCUGCUCACAGAUGCAUGUGUGAGCCCACCUGGGCCCAGAAGAACUGCCCAGCUGACUUGUAGACUCAUGAGCAAUAAUAACUAGCUAUUAUAGUAAGCCUGUGAGUUUUGAAGUGGCUUGUUAUACAGCAUUAUUGUGGCAAUAGAUAAUUGAUGGUUAAUGCCUCCUCAUUUGGGUCGCAGCCUCAGAAAGGCUUUUCCGACUACCCAGGCAAUCUAAAUCUGCCUCCCAGUCUCUGUAUAAUACGGGUGUAUUAUUUUCUCAAUAACGCCUAUCACUCUCCACAAUGAUUUGUUGACUACUAUCUGUCUCCCACACUAGACUGUCAGCGGUAUGAUGUCAGAGACCUUGUCCACCUGCUCAUCCUCAGCAUCCAGCACGGUACUGCACUGUCCAGCUGUGUGUGUCCACCAAGCACUGGAAAUGUGGCUAGUCCAACCUGAGAUGUUCUGGAAAUACAAAGCACUGGGUUUCCAAGGCUUAGUACAAAAAUUGUGUAUAUAAAGUAUCUCAAUUGUUAUACUGAUAAAAGGUUGAAAUAAUAAUAUUUUGAAUAUAUUGUGUUAAGUAGAAUAUGUUACUAAAGUUAAUUUCAUCUC